UACGUAGGGUGCAAGCGUUGUCCGGAAUUAUUGGGCGUAAAGAGCUCGUAGGCGGUCUGUCGCGUCGGCUGUGAAAACCUGGGGCUCAACUCCGGGCCUGCAGCCGAUACGGGCAGACUAGAAUUCGGUAGGGGAGACUGGAAUUCCUGGUGUAGCGGUGAAAUGCGCAGAUAUCAGGAGGAACACCGGUGGCGAAGGCGGGUCUCUGGGCCGAUACUGACACUGAGAAGCGAAAGCGUGGGGAGCGAACAGG
rnacentral:rRNA from 1 species